UUGUUAACAACUAUUUAAUGUCAAGGCUAAUUCACAAGCUUAGUAAAAGCAGGCUUUGUUGAAGAUUCAACACCUUCAAUUACAGCAUUAAGAGCUCAUAAUAAUUACUCCUCAAACCUUUCAGAGGUCCUUCAACGGAGCCUCUGUGUGAGGAGGGGGAGGCAGCUUUGACAUCCUUAAUGUCUUAAAGAUUAAAAAUACAAAUAAACAAAGCAAGCAGAAAAGCCCUAAUUCUAAUAAUGAUGACAAAUACGAUGUCAGGCUCUCAUUAGACAACAAAAAGCAGCAAAUGAAAGAGAGUAGCCUAAUUCUCAGUUAGUCACAUUAAAUAUGACUCCUUUGCUAGUGAAUUUCUGUGGGGAUAAACAAGGGAUUUUCACUGCCCAGGUAUGCCCAAAAUGAGAUUUCUGGAAGUAGGAAAGCAAGGAAUUUGACUAAAACAUUAGAAUUAGCUUUAUUUCUACUGCCCUGGUCAAGAUUUACAGAAACUUCAGUCUCUGCUUCACCUGUUCCUGGCAUAGCUGAGCCCAGCACUUCACCUCAUCAUGCCGUAGAUGCUUUUUAGUAGGAAAAUGGCUGAUUAUUUGCAUUUCUGGGGACUACAUAGGAAGCAGCUGGUACGGUGAGAAGGCAGGGGGGAAAGACUUAGCUCCUAUGGAGAGUGUUUUCUCCUGCCAAGGUUUUUCUUCUCCUACCAGAGGAUCACCACUCCAAAAUUUCUUUCAGCUUAUGAAAUGUACAGCUAUGCUCUCCCUUUAAAACUCAAGGACAUCUUGGUGUUUAGCACAGCUCAUAAACACCUUUCUCCUUUUUGAGUUCAUAACAAAUCCAGUCUAGCUCAGGAGCAGAUCAGAGGAGUGACCAACCUCCAGGCCAAAUGAAGAGCAAGAAGCAGUCAGUCAUGUUUCCCUUGAAUUUCAACAGCAGUGAAGCUGAAACAAAUAGGUGCAGUUGCCUGUCAUCAGUGACAAUUGCUCUGAAGUUCAGGACGUCUCACUGAACACACACAAAAAGCACACAACUCCAACACUGACAGAUCUUCUCAGCAGAAGUGCAAGGGCUGUGUUCAGAGCAGAGGGAAGCCCCACAGCCAGUGCUCACCAGGGCAGGUUCCCUAUACCAGCCACCACUGUUUUUGUUUUUUUUUUUUUCCCCAAGCAGUAAUACUCCAUUUUGUCCCAUGUUCACUUGGUGGCAUACUUUGGCCUUUUUGUAAUGACAGUUCUACACAGUGACAAAGCACAUGCGAGUGCAGAGAGGUUUGCAAGGAAUCGGGAUUUACUGUAAAGCACCCUAGAAGGGGUUUCUCACUUGCUGCGUGUAUGCACUGGUGGUAUAUGAGGGAUGGGCAUCAAGCAUCCUGUGCAGUUUCACCUGGUGAUGACAAUGCCUCUGAGCAUGGGGUAAGCACCAAACUUCUGCAGAAGUAUGCAGGAGUUCAUCAAAGCUGUGCUGUUCACCCAGCAACCUAGCAGACUUCAGUGAAGAACUUGGGUUUCAGCUGGAGAAAGUGAGAACUUUUUCAGUGAAGUGAGUGUUACCUUCAGGCCUGUGAAGUGUUCAUCAGGACAGCAUCCUCUCCUCUCUGGUGGAAUCAGACACCUCACUGUUAUUUAGAUGAUUCAGUACCCUUACAGGGGCGAUUCUCACUUUCACGUGGUUUCAAACGUACAAGAUGGGGGUGGUAGCACAUCGCCCAGCACUCUCAUGCUCUUCAAUCUUUAGUCACGUUUCCUCCAACUGGAGGUUGGUACAGCACUUAGGACAUGCUGCUGGGUUGAUCCAAAGGACAGGGAAGUUCUCUGACCCGUGCCAGCUUUGCAACAGUGCAGCUUCAGUGUUGGGGAAGAUGCCUCUGAUGUCCAAAAAAGGAGGAAGUGGAGGUAAUGCCCCUCUGAUAUGAUCUCACAUGAGCUGAUUUACAGCCAAGUCAUAAGCACCAAAAUAAAGAGUCAGCUAGUUGUAGCUGCAGAUACGCUUCAAGUUCAGCUCAUGCUCAUUGUUCGCUUGCAUCAUUCUAGAUUAGGUGCUGAUGUGCUUUAUUCACACUGAAUUAACUUCAUGUGCGUGCUUGCUAACUUCCUGCUUAUCUGGAUACCACAUAUGCAUAUGCCCAAUCCAGUUAGGGAGAGAAUGAGAAACAUAGUGAAUGCUACACCAUUUAAGUAAGCAUAAUGAAUGACCAGAGUUGUGGCACAUAUCUGUGCAUGUGAAGGAGAAAAGUGAAUUAAAAAAAAAAAAAAGAAAAAA
ensembl:lncRNA